rfam:Bacillus endophyticus strain Hbe603, complete genome.
GGGGCUAUGGUAUAAUGGGAUUACGCUUGACUGGCAGUCAAGUAAUGCGAGUUCGAUUCUCGCUAGCUCCA